CCACGGGACACAGCAGUAGGGAAUUUUCGUCAAUGGGCGCAAGCCUGAACGAGCAAUGCCGCGUGAACGAGGAAGGUCUUCGGAUCGUAAAGUUCUGCUUAAGGGGAAAAAGAGCGGAGAGAGGAAAUGGUCUCCGAUUGAUAUUACCCUUCGAGGAAGUCACGGCUAACUACGUGCCAGCAGCCGCGGUAAUACGUAGGUGGCGAGCGUUAUCCGGAAUGAUUGGGCGUAAAGGGUGCGUAGGCCGCCUGCUAAGUCUGGAGUGAAAGGUACCGGCUCAACCGGUACAGGCUAUGGCAACUGGG
rnacentral:rRNA from 1 species